UCACAAUGUCCACACUUAUACACAGUAUC
rnacentral:sRNA from 1 species